rnacentral:tRNA from 1 species
GCCCGGGUGGCGGAAUAGGCAGACGCAAGGGACUUAAAAUCCCUCGGUGUUAUACACCGUGCCGGUUCGACCCCGGCCUCGGGCACCA